rnacentral:rRNA from 1 species
GCAUAUCAAUAAGCGGAGGAAAAGAAACCAACAGGGAUUACCUCAGUAACGGCGAGUGAAGCGGUAACAGCUCAAAUUUGAAAUCUGGCCUCACGGUCCGAGUUGUAAUUUGUAGAGGAUGCUUCGAGCAUGGUCUGGCCUAAGUUCCUUGGAACAGGACGUCAUAGAGGGUGAGAAUCCCGUAUGCGGCCAGGUGCCUACGCUCAUGUGAAGCUCCUUCGACGAGUCGAGUUGUUUGGGAAUGCAGCUCAAAAUGGGUGGUAAAUUUCAUCUAAAGCUAAAUAUUGGCCAGAGACCGAUAGCGCACAAGUAGAGUGAUCGAAAGAUGAAAAGCACUUUGGAAAGAGAGUUAAACAGUACGUGAAAUUGUUGAAAGGGAAGCGCUUGCAACCAGACUUGCGCGCGGCCGAUCAUCCGGUGUUCUCACCGGUGCACUCGGCCGUGCUCAGGCCAGCAUCGGUUUUGGCGGCUGGAUAAAGGCCCUAGGAAUGUAGCUCCUCUCGGGGAGUGUUAUAGCCUAGGGUGCAAUGCAGCCUGCUGGGACCGAGGACCGCGCUUCGGCUAGGAUGCUGGCGUAAUGGUUGUAAGCGGCCCGUCUUGAAACACGGACCAAGGAGUCUAACAUCUAUGCGAGUGUUUGGGUGUCAAACCCAUACGCGUAAUGAAAGUGAACGGAGGUGAGAACCCUUAAGGGUGCAUCAUCGACCGGUCCUGAAGUUUACGGAAGGAUCUGAGUAAGAGCAUAGCUGUUGGGACCCGAAAGAUGGUGAACUAUGCCUGAAUAGGGUGAAGCCAGAGGAAACUCUGGUGGAGGCUCGCAGCGGUUCUGACGUGCAAAUCGAUCGUCAAAUUUGGGUAUAGGGGGCGAAAGACUAAUCGAACCAUCUAGUAGCUGGUUCUGCC